rnacentral:rRNA from 1 species
CGCCUCUUGAUCUUCUAUAAGAGGUCUAGCCUGCCCGGUGACAUAGUUUAACGGCCGCGGUACUCUGACCGUGCGAAGGUAGCAUAAUCACUUGUUCUUUAAAUGGGGACUAGUAUCAACGGCAUCACGAGGGCUUCACUGUCUCCUUUUUCCAAUCAGUGAAACUGAUCUCCCCGUGAAGAAGCGGGGAUCAUUAUAUAAGACGAGAAGACCCCAUGGAGCUUUAAACCCAAUGACAACCCUAACCUGCCCUCCCCAAAAAGUUUUUCAGCCAUGUCUAUUGGUUUUAGGUUGGGGCGACCGCGGAGUAAAACUUAACCUCCACAACGCAUGGAACUAACACCACAUCUGAGAGCCACCUCUCAAAGAAUCAACAAAUUGACGUAAAAUGAUCCAAUGACUUUGAUCAAUGAACCAAGUUACCCUGGGGAUAACAGCGCAAUCCAUUUUAAGAGCUCCUAUCGACAAGUGGGUUUACGACCUCGAUGUUGGAUCAGGGUGUCCCAGUGGUGCAGCCGCUACUAAUGGUUUGUUUGUUCAACAAUUAAAACCCU